rnacentral:rRNA from 1 species
CACAAGCGGAGGAGCAUGUGGUUAAUUCGAUGAUACGCGAGGAACCUUACCUGGGCUCGAACGUAAGAUGACUGUAGGUGAAAGCUUACAUCUCUUCGGAGCAUUUUACGAGGUGCUGCAUGGUUGUCGUCAGCUCGUGCCGUGAGGUGUCGGGUUAAGUCCCAUAACGAGCGCAACCCCUACCUUUAGUUGCCAUCAGGUUAAGCUGGGGACUCUAAAGGAACUGCCUACGCAAGUAGUGAGGAAGCGGGGAUGACGUCAAAUCAGCACGGCCCUUACGUCCAGGGCUACACACGUGCUACAAUGGCCGAUACAGAGGGCAGCUACCUGGUGACAGGAUGCAAAUCUCCAAAGUCGGUCUCAGUUCGGAUCGGAGUCUGCAACCCGACUCCGUGAAGUUGGAUUCGCUAGUAAUCGCGCAUCAGCCAUGGCGCGGUGAAUACGUUCCCGGGCCUU